GAUGAAGAACGUAGCGAAAUGCGAUAAGUAGUGUGAAUUGCAGAAUUCAGUGAAUCAUCGAAUCUUUGAACGCACAUUGCGCCCCUUGGUAUCCCGAGGGGCAUGCCUGUUCGAGCGUUAUUUCACCACUCAAGCCUGGCUUGGUGUUGGGCGACGUCCCCUUUGGGGACGCGCCUCGAAACGCUCGGCGGCGUGGCACCGGCUUUAAGCGUAGCAGAAUCUUUCGCUUUGGAAGUCGGGGCCCCGUCUGCCGGAAGACCUACUCGCAAGGUUGACCUCGGAUCAGGCAGGGAUACCCGCUGAACUUAAGCAUAUCAAUAAGCGGAGGA
rnacentral:misc_RNA from 1 species